UACGUAGGGUGCUAGCGUUGUUCGGAAUCAUUGGGCGUAAAGCGUGUGUAGGUGGUUAGUUAAGUCGGGUGUGAAAUCCCUAGGCUCAACCAAGGAAGUGCAUCCGAAACUAAUUAGCUAGAAGAUGGUAGAGAAAGGUGGAAUUCCAAGUGUAGAGGUGAAAUUCGUAGAUAUUUGGAGGAAUACCGGUGGCGAAGGCGGCCUUUUGGACCAUUCUUGACACUGAGACACGAAAGCGUGGGGAGCAAACAGG
rnacentral:rRNA from 1 species